GAAUGCCCGCCGCACAACUAUAUCCCSGGAGCCCGGGGGCUUCCUGGGCAUGGGCGGCSGGGUGCAAAWCUCAACCCACUAGUGCCAGUACCCCGAAACCUGCACAGGGUAGGAAGCACAGGCAACGCAUACUCGGACCGCGAGGCAGGAGCUUGAGCCCGGACCUCCGGCCAACAAUAGCAGAGGCGAA
rnacentral:misc_RNA from 1 species